CCUACGGGAGGCAGCAGUGAGGAAUAUUGCGCAAUGGGCGAAAGCCUGACGCAGCGACGCCGCGUGGGGGAUGAAGGUCUUCGGAUUGUAAACCCCUUUCGGGUGGGAAGACGGCCCUAGACAACUAGGGCGGACGGUACCACCAGAAGCAGCCACGGCUAACUUCGUGCCAGCAGCCGCGGUAAUACGAAGGUGGCAAGCGUUGUUCGGAUUUACUGGGCGUAAAGGGAGCGUAGGUGGUUAGGUAAGCCCUCCGGGAAAUCUUCAGGCUUAACCUGAAAAGGUCGGGGGGGACUGCCUGGCUAGAGGACGGGAGAGGAGCGCGGAAUUCCCGGUGUAGCGGUGAAAUGCGUAGAGAUCGGGAGGAAGGCCGGUGGCGAAGGCGGCGCUCUGGAACGUUUCUGACACUGAGGCUCGAAAGCGUGGGGAGCAAACAGGAU
rnacentral:rRNA from 1 species